CUAAUCACUGAUUAAUACUUUGGUAACAAUAUAUCUUCUUGUGGCAUCUUCAAAUUGGUUGGAUUCCAUGAUAGGGGAAAAAAGCUAUCUACAAUCAAAAAGAAAAACGCCAUCCGAUAUGAUUUGUUAGCGAGACAAAUGUGGGGCUAAGAUUGCCAUUAUGGGAAAUGUGGGGCUAAGAUUGCCAUUAUGGGAGUCGAUAUAUGCGUAGAGAGAAAGAGGGAGAGGGAGUUUUUGUAAUUACUACUUAGGGAAAGAAACAGAGAGCAUCAAAGCAUCGUCAUAGUUCCAUUAGGGGAAGGUUUGGCUUUUUCCUCCCCCACUUGUAAUAUUAUUCUUUCACGCUUUGGAUCUCCUUUUACCCACACCUAUUCUUUGCUUUAGU
rnacentral:lncRNA from 1 species